AAAUGGAUUGUGAGGCUGGCUGACCAGCUGGGUAGGGUCAGAAUAUUGAAGAAAUGAGAGGGAGAUGCAUGAGCAGUUUUCCUGAUGGGGAGGAAGGAAGACUUAAAUUGCAUACAUUUUGAUAAAGCAUUUUGGUGUCUGAGAGUCAGUUUGUCAACCUUUAUCUAUGAGGGACAGAGAGAUGGUGUAGUGGAUAGACCACUUGGCUUGGAAUCAGGAGGAUUUAUUUCCAUGAGUUCAAAUGUGACCUGAGACACUUACUAGCUAUGUAAACCUAGAUACUCCUUGGAAGAACAUCAAAUCACACAGGAAGAGGAAGCCUGAAUGGGUCAUGAACUAUUGCAGGAGGAAAUACUACAUUGUUGAGAUGAAGAAUACUUUCAAAUAGUGAAGCAUAUUAUAUCAGUUGUCUUUUUUUUCCUCUAGACUUUCUAGAAAGAAACCAUCAGAUAUAAUCUUUCUUUGCAUUUUUCUACUUGGGUAGUUAAGAGGUAAACCAUGUGGUACAUUCUAUUCUAAGACCAGAAGUUUGAUUUCCCUUUUUAAAAAUCCAUCAUAAACUCAGGAAAUAGAACAUUUUUUAUGAACAGGCAACAGCUUCCUUCCAACAAUUCCUCUUUAUUUCUUUAUUUCAAUCUCUUUGUAUUUCUGUUACUUGCAUUUUCUUUUCCUACAACUGCUUCCCAUUAUGUUUCUUUUUUUCUGUAACAUCUCUCUCUGUGACAAGAAACUUCUGAGAUUACUUUAAAGAAUGGCACAAUGAACUACCAAAAUUUCAGGAAAAAUUCCAUUCAAAUGAAGAUCUGAAGGUUCAUACCAGAGCAGCCAUUAUAAUAAUGAAUGAAUACAGGAUAAAAUUAAUGAAAAUAAACCAAAGAGAAAAUUGGGUUUGCA
rnacentral:lncRNA from 1 species